ensembl:snRNA U6 U6 spliceosomal RNA
AUGCUCUCUUUGGCAGCAUAUAUGCUAAAAUUGAAACAAUGCAGAGGAGAUUAGCAUGGCCCCUGUGCAAGAAUGACAUGCAAAUUCAUGAAAUGUUCUAUAUUUUG